GAACGGGUGAGUAACACGUGGGUGAUCUGCCCUGCACUUUGGGAUAAGCCUGGGAAACUGGGUCUAAUACCGAAUAGGACCACGCGCUUCAUGGUGUGUGGUGGAAAGCUUUUGCGGUGUGGGAUGGGCCCGCGGCCUAUCAGCUUGUUGGUGGGGUAAUGGCCUACCAAGGCGACGACGGGUAGCCGGCCUGAGAGGGUGACCGGCCACACUGGGACUGAGAUACGGCCCAGACUCCUACGGGAGGCAGCAGUGGGGAAUAUUGCACAAUGGGCGCAAGCCUGAUGCAGCGACGCCGCGUGAGGGAUGACGGCCUUCGGGUUGUAAACCUCUUUCAAUAGGGACGAAGCGCAAGUGACGGUACCUAUAGAAGAAGCACCGGCCAACUACGUGCCAGCAGCCGCGGUAAUACGUAGGGUGCGAGCGUUGUCCGGAAUUACUGGGCGUAAAGAGCUCGUAGGUGGUUUGUCGCGUUGUUCGUGAAAACUCACAGCUUAACUGUGGGCGUGCGGGCGAUACGGGCAGACUAGAGUACUGCAGGGGAGACUGGAAUUCCUGGUGUAGCGGUGGAAUGCGCAGAUAUCAGGAGGAACACCGGUGGCGAAGGCGGGUCUCUGGGCAGUAACUGACGCUGAGGAGCGAAAGCGUGGGGAGCGAACAGGAUUAGAUACCCUGGUAGUCCACGCCGUANACGGUGGGUACUAGGUGUGGGUUCCUUCCUUGGGAUCCGUGCCGUAGCUAACGCAUUAAGUACCCCGCCUGGGGAGUACGGCCGNCAGGCU
rnacentral:rRNA from 1 species